GUCUUAGGGCUAUAUGAUAAUACGAAUUCUUCGAAGUGAGUUGUGGAACGCCCAAUUGAUCUUUGAUCUUUUCAUCUGAAAACUCUUUGCUUCUCAUCAGCGGUAGACGGAAAAAUGGCCGGCGGAGGAGACCACUCUCAUGGUGGAGAUUUCAGGACUAAGGUCUGGAGUAUGAGUGGUGGGCCGUACUGUAGGCCCGUACAUUGGAAGCGCAAUACCGCAAUUGCCCUCGCCGGAAUCGUACUCGUUUGCAUUCCUGUCGCCUUGAAAUCUGCCGAGCUCGAGCAAAGGCCACAUCUUCCAGUCCGCCCCAUUCCUUCUCAGCUAUGGUGCAAGAACUUUGGAACAAAAGACUACUAGUUUUGUUAGUGAAGCAACGAUAGUAGCUUGCUGUGGGGAAGAUGAUCGCCUUGCCUUCUGUAUUUGGAUUCUGAACUGCAUUUCAUGGUUACUUUUUAUUUGAAAUAGCGUGACCUAUAAUGACAAUGUUCCAUUGAAUAAACAUGACACCGCGUGCUCUUUUUACAACUGAUUAAAGCAUGUCAACAAACUUUCAUGAUGGUCUUCUUUGAAGUAUUGUUCGUCUUGCUCAUCCACCAUGUACCACUGCGCUUUCUAUCAAAGUAGAUCCAGAAGAAGCUAAAUAAGUGAAUUCUUAUAUUUGCCUUACAUUUGGUGUGUAUAAUGCAGGUAUUGGUGAGUGAUUUUACAAUUAUAAUCUCUCUUCUUACUAGCUCGACUAGUUGAGCUCAAAUGCCAAUAGCAAGUCUAAGUAUAGUUUAUCUACAACUCAUCCUCAAGUAGAUCAAUGAAUGUACGAAUUUUUGUAAAACCUAGUUGAGUAAAAUUCUUUAAAUCAUUAAAAUAAGGGGUAUU
rnacentral:misc_RNA from 1 species